rnacentral:misc_RNA from 1 species
GAACUGCGAUAAGUAAUGUGAAUUGCAGAAUUCAGUGAAUCAUCGAGUCUUUGAACGCACAUUGCGCCCCCUGGCAUUCCGGGGGGCAUGCCUGUCCGAGCGUCAUUGCUGCCCAUCAAGCCCGGCUUGUGUGUUGGGUCGUCGUCCCCCCCGGGGGACGGGCCCGAAAGGCAGCGGCGGCACCGUGUCCGGUCCUCGAGCGUAUGGGGCUUUGUCACCCGCUCGACUAGGGCCGGCCGGGCGCCAGCCGACGUCUCCAACCAUUUUUCUUCAGGUUGACCUCGGAUCAGGUAGGGAUACCCGCUGAACAUAAGC